rnacentral:misc_RNA from 1 species
AAGUCGUAACAAGGUUUCCGUAGGUGAACCUGCGGAAGGAUCAUUACAACGUAUCCACGUACCAAACUCGCGAACUGUUCCCAAUAGAGUGAACCAGUGGAUGAAGUUAUGGUUGACUGCUUUUCGCUGAUGGAGUUCUCGGAUUUUCAUCUGAGAACUGAAAGGCUUUCGAUCGCCAGCAGAGGUGUUCGCACUUCUCUGGGCUUCGUUUACUCUAUUGCGGUUUCCCAUCAGCUGUUUUACCCAUUAUUAACCCUUUGAAAUCUGAACUGAACUUGAAAACUUUGUUUUUCACAUUACGAAACAAAGAACAACUCUUAGCAACGGAUAUCUUGGUUCUC